CACAAACCAGCAAUGUGUUUUAAGACCAACAUUUUGGGAAUCCAGACGCUAAAUCUCAUGCUGCUUAGGCUUGAUUCUAAGGCUUCAAUGUGCAACUCUGUCUUAGUUUAGCCUGUCUGCUGCAAUCCUUUCUACCAAGAUCACAGUUACCACACUUCAGCCAUUGGCAGUUGACACCAACUUCAUGAAUGAGACUUUUUGAUUGGUCAGAAGUCUUUCCAUUACCACUAUAUUAAGAGCCUCACUGGCUAACACUGCACUGUAGAAACCACAGACCUAAAUGCUCGCUUUGAAGAGCAAUUACCUAUCCUGUGCAGCCUUUCAGUUUUAUAUAGCAUACAAUAUGUUUUGUUUGCUUUUUGUUUUUAUUUUUAUCUAUUGCACAGACAGCCCACAUCUCCCGACACCCUGCCCCCUGCGCCUCACUCCAUCGAGCACAACGCCUGAUGUUAGAACUCCACAUUCUGACCACUCGGGAUUAGCUAGGAAUUUCUCUUCCAAGCAAUAACCAAAAGGAUAUGGUUCCCAGGAAAACUGAUGUACUUACCCUGUGGAACAGGCUACAGAGCCAAGGUUCCUUGGGAUAGAAGCCAUUGGAGACUAUUCAAGAGCACUGACUGUCAACGGGAUUUGUGCUCCCAGAUCACUUGGGCAACUGAAAAAUCUAUUCUGUGUUGAGUUCAGUCUGUCCCAGUCAACAGGUCCCAAAUCCUUACCUGAGUAUUACCACAAACCAACAUUAUGGACAACUGUACCUAAUACUGUAUGUAUAAAUAAUCGACAUU